AGAGUUUGAUCCUGGCUCAGAUUGAACGCUGGCGGCAUGCCUUACACAUGCAAGUCGAACGGCAGCACGAGAGCUUGCUCUUGGUGGCGAGUGGCGAACGGGUGAGUAAUAUAUCGGAACGUACCCUAGAGUGGGGGAUAACGUAGCGAAAGUUACGCUAAUACCGCAUACGAUCUACGGAUGAAAGUGGGGGAUCGCAAGACCUCAUGCUCAUGGAGCGGCCGAUAUCUGAUUAGCUAGUUGGUGGGGUAAAAGCUCACCAAGGCGACGAUCAGUAGCUGGUCUGAGAGGACGACCAGCCACACUGGAACUGAGACACGGUCCAGACUCCUACGGGAGGCAGCAGUGGGGAAUUUUGGACAAUGGGCGCAAGCCUGAUCCAGCAAUGCCGCGUGAGUGAAGAAGGCCUUCGGGUUGUAAAGCUCUUUUGUCAGGGAAGAAACGGUGGACUCUAAUACAGAUCACUAAUGACGGUGCCUGAAGAAUAAGCACCGGCUAACUACGUGCCAGCAGCCGCGGUAAUACGUAGGGUGCAAGCGUUAAUCGGAAUUACUGGGCGUAAAGCGUGCGCAGGCGGUUGUGCAAGACAGAUGUGAAAUCCCCGGGCUCAACCUGGGAAUUGCAUUUGUGACUGCACGGCUAGAGUGUGUCAGAGGGGGGUAGAAUUCCACGUGUAGCAGUGAAAUGCGUAGAGAUGUGGAGGAAUACCGAUGGCGAAGGCAGCCCCCUGGGAUAACACUGACGCUCAUGCACGAAAGCGUGGGGAGCAAACAGGAUUGGAUACCCUGGUAGUCCACGCCCUAAACGAUGUCUACUAGUUGUCGGGUCUUAAUUGACUUGGUAACGCAGCUAACGCGUGAAGUAGACCGCCUGGGGAGUACGGUCGCAAGAUUAAAACUCAAAGGAAUUGACGGGGACCCGCACAAGCGGUGGAUGAUGUGGAUUAAUUCGAUGCAACGCGAAAAACCUUACCUACCCUUGACAUGUCUGGAAUCCUUGAGAGAUCAGGGAGUGCUCGAAAGAGAAUCAGAACACAGGUGCUGCAUGGCUGUCGUCAGCUCGUGUCGUGAGAUGUUGGGUUAAGUCCCGCAACGAGCGCAACCCUUGUCAUUAGUUGCUACGAAAGGGCACUCUAAUGAGACUGCCGGUGACAAACCGGAGGAAGGUGGGGAUGACGUCAAGUCCUCAUGGCCCUUAUGGGUAGGGCUUCACACGUCAUACAAUGGUACAUACAGAGGGCCGCCAACCCGCGAGGGGGAGCUAAUCCCAGAAAGUGUAUCGUAGUCCGGAUUGUAGUCUGCAACUCGACUACAUGAAGUUGGAAUCGCUAGUAAUCGCGGAUCAGCAUGUCGCGGUGAAUACGUUCCCGGGUCUUGUACACACCGCCCGUCACACCAUGGGAGCGGGUUUCACCAGAAGUGGGUAGCCUAACCGCAAGGAGGGCGCUCACCACGGUGGGAUUCGUGACUGGGGUGAAGUCGUAACAAGGUA
rnacentral:rRNA from 1 species